CGCUAGCUACAGGCUUAACACAUGCAAGUCGAGGGGAAACGACAUCGAAAGCUUGCUUUUGAUGGGCGUCGACCGGCGCACGGGUGAGUAACGCGUAUCCAACCUGCCCACCACUUGGGAUAACCUUGCGAAAGUAAGACUAAUACCCAAUGACGUCUCUAGAAGACAUCUGAAAGAGAUUAAAGAUUUAUCGGUGAUGGAUGGGGAUGCGUCUGAUUAGCUUGUUGGCGGGGUAACGGCCCACCAAGGCGACGAUCAGUAGGGGUUCUGAGAGGAAGGUCCCCCACAUUGGAACUGAGACACGGGUCCAAACUCCUACGGGAGGCAGCAGUGAGGAAUAUUGGUCAAUGGGCGAGAGCCUGAACCAGCCAAGUAGCGUGCAGGACGACGGCCCUAUGGGUUGUAAACUGCUUUUAUAAGGGAAUAAAGUGAGUCUCGUGAGACUUUUUGCAUGUACCUUAUGAAUAAGGACCGGCUAAUUCCGUG
rnacentral:rRNA from 1 species